AACAGUCAAUAUUCAAUGCGUUUUUACCACGUGACCCCAUUUUCCCCUUCCAAAACUGUUCUUAUAUAAAGUAUUUUUGUAAACAGACUGGUAAGGUAAUGUCUCCUAAGAGUAAUUUUUUUCAAAGGGAUUAAGGGAAAUAGCUAUGUGAGGAUGAAUUUUUAAAAACAAUUUUCUAAAAUAUUUAAAAGACAAUGUUAAUCUUGAAAUAAUUUUCUAAUUCUACACAAAUAUAGAAGUUCUCUACUCUGAUCACAGUUUCAUUUCUGUGGUUUUGGCAGAAUAUCACUAUUCCCACAUGAUAAAUACACUGUUGGAUUCUGACAAAGUCUCCGUUCCCCCUAUUUCAUAAUGCCUUCUGCUAUCCUCUAUUUCUAAAUUAGAUCAAGAAGGUUUGCCUCUUAGCCAGUUCACAUACAGGAUGAGAACUAACCCAACAAAGUAACUCUGACCUCACUGCAACAUGCAAACCUAUGACAUCUUCCUGGAGCAGUGACAGCAAAGUUUUAUUCCAAGACAGACACAUGUCUUCCACAUGUUUGCACGCUUGCCCAAUCCUUCGUAAGGUUUGGAACACUGUGCAAAUACUUUUAAAAAAAUCUCUAAGCCUCCGUAAGUUCUACUUGGCUUACAAAUUUUACAUUAUUAAUUCAUCUGAUUAUCAAUGCCACUCAGGCUUCAUGUUUCUUUUCAAAGGCAAACUCAUUUUUUACUGCUCCUUUGAACUACAAGGUUUACCUAUAAUGCUAGCAGUUAUAGUCAGUCUCCCAGCUGACACUGACUGCUCCAGAAAGGAUACUUAGAAAGGGAACUCUAAAAGCUCUGUUUCUUUAAGACCUCUGGCUUUAUUCUCAUGAGAAGCCUAAUUCUUCUGGCCUUGAGCCUGCACAGCCAGAGUCAGUGUGCACAUCUGACCUUUUCCUAAUAAGGAUCAGCUCAUUAACCAGCCAGCCAUAAUCACUCUCUUGGCUCCCAGAGCCUGCAAACUGGAGGUCCCUGGCAGCCCAAGUUUCUUACAGAGAUACACGUGAUUAUGAUGCACCCUCUAACCCCUACUGAUAAUAUCAAAAGGAGAUUUUCUUCUUGUCCUGGAGAAGCUUUCAAUCUUACAGGAAUACUUCAGCUAAUCAAGAAACGCUUUGGUGAUAAAUACACUUUACAAAAUCUUAAGCAUAAAUAUAAAGUUCUUUCUAGAAUGAAAGAUAUAGAGUGGGCUCUGAAAAGAGGAGGAUGUAUGAGAUCCAUUCUUUGCCUUUCGGUGUCCUGUAAUCUAGUGGGUGGGACUAUUUCAUGGGUGAUAUUACGAAUUCAGAGUGCACAUGCUGUAAGAAAAGUCAUGUAUUGGUGCUAUGCAGCCAGGAAAGAGAGGAGUCAAACGCUGCUAGGGCCAAGUCUUGAGGAUUACAGGAGAGAGAAAAUCGAAGGGGAUCCUGCUCAAGCAGUGAUACAAAUGCCAGCAGAUCCAGUGUCUGCGGAACUCCAGUUCAUUCAGCCUUGCUGGCACAUCAAGGGCAAGGAAUGAGGCUCGAGAGCAGCCAGCGCCAGUGCUAAGGGGACUAGCCUUCACCCUGUAGGCAAUGAGGCAGACUGGAACAUCUCUAAGCACAGGAAUGGCAAGGGUAAAUUUAUCUUUUCUGACAGCCAGAUGGGAAAAUGAUUUGGGGGAGCGUGGAGCUUGGCACAGGUCAGGUGGGUGGAAGCAAGUGACAGGCAAAGAACCCAGUUAUCAGGCCACGGCACCACUUCCAGGGACGGAUAACUAAGGACUAAUCUGGAUAAACAGUUGUAGGAUAGAAAGGAGAGGAGGCAUUUAAGAAAUGCCCAGGAGGGAAAAUUCUCAAGAAUCAGUGAUGGAUUGAAUAGGAGACUCAGAGGGAGAAAUAAUCAUCAGAGAUGAUUUUCCAAGAUGAUUUCCAUCUGAUUUGUAAUGGGCAGAUGGCAGUGUUGUUAAUAGGAAAAAUACAGGAGGAGGAGUAAGCAUUUCCCAUCAAUCACCUGGUACCACUGCAGUGAAGCAAAGGGGACAUUGUUUUCCAAGUGCACAGGAAGCACCAGCGAGAGGAGAAGAAUUCAAAUUCAUUUUCCACAUACCCCUGCCAAAGGAAUCUAUCUGAAUCACGAAUGUGGCCAUCCUAACCUGUGAGUAGUGCCCGGUCACCUAAGGGGCAACAGGGCACCUGGGUCAAGGGCAGGUGCUACAACCAGAUCCUUUAGGAUUUUAUCCUGACUCUGCAGCUGACUAGGGUAUGGUCUGUGCUUCAACCUUCCCAAUGUACAAUGGAACAUUAAAACGACAUUCCCAAGAUCAAAACAAGUGGCAGGUCCUGCUGACAGCUCCCAAUAAACGCCGCACUGACUGCUUGCCCCUCCCCCACUCUCAGGUCUCUUCUAACCCGCAGUGUCAUUACUAUGGGAACCCCACACGUAUGCGGUGUGACUGUUUAGGGAAUAAUACCGCGUCAUCUUGUCUGGAUGGCUGGUAUAAAGCAACGCUGAGAGAAAGAUUGUCUGUUUUUUGGUUCUGAACAGAGCUGACCUAUAUAUGGUGGUCCCAAUGUGAAACCAUGUCAACCAGGUGUGAGUUUACCUUGCCAAAGACAGGGAGCACUUAGAGGUUCCGAAGCCCUGUUUUUCUGACCCCUGUUACUGAGAGCACUAGGCAAGGAUGAGAAGUCUUGUCAUUAAAACUCCCUUCAGCAAAAAUGCAACCUGACUCUAUUUUGGAGGUAGUUUUAUACAAAUGCAAAUGACCAGCCUAAAUAAGCCAGGUGAGGUAAUUAUAAAACAUUUAGAACAGCCUUAGAAUGAUUCGAACUAGUCAAAAAAGAAAAACUCGCAUGUCAAACAGUCUGUCUCUUUCCAUAAAAUAUAUUCCCCGGUGUUUGGCUCAAAUUUCUGUCAUUUUUGAAAGAAAAUCAUUGCAAACACCAACCAAAGCAUUAAAUUGGUUCCAAAUGAGCUGAGGCCUCGAGUCUGGGACUUGGCUCCGCAGCUGCGUGUUCCCUGUUUGGCUAAAACCAGCAGCUUCCUCCCAGGGCUGCUUCUCUGUCAGCCUCCCCAAGCAUUUAAAGCACAAAGCCAGGCCAGACCAUUCACAGUAAUGAUACACUAGCGGACCACAGGGCUGGAAUCAUCGACGUGGUUCAAUUCGAGGAUAAUUAUAAUGGAGUUUUUAGUAGUUCAGUGGAUGAAUUACAAAAAAGGAGGUAGCUUAAAUAAAAAGCUUGAAUGAAGGAGAGGAAUAAACAGCCCUUUAACGCAUCACGUUUCAAUGCCUUUCUAACUGCAGUGUUUCCCGGUUUCUGUUCACUUGCCCAGAUUUCUUUCACAUUGGCCUUCCUGGGGCUCAAACCAUGAAAACAUCUGGAUUACAUUUUCCACUAAUAAGUGAUGGAAUAAAUAGGCUGAAACUACGUAAAACUGGGGAGAAAAAAGACUUUGGCCUAUAUGUGGUCCAGGAAUGCACGUGCCUAUAAGAACAUUCUGAAGGAAUGAUUAGCCUUUGAGAAGCAUUUUUCAGUGGAAGAUUAGACAAAGAAAGGUAACUGCUGCUAUGACAUUAAACUUUGUGCACAUAAGACAUGCCCUGUAACGUUUUCUCCUUUUGGUGAUUUAGAAACAAGACAUUUAAAUCAUAUCCAUUAUGCAUGUUAUACACCCAUGCAUGCGUGUGUACACACGCGCGCGCGUGCACACACACACACACACACAGAGGAACCAGGAAGAACAUAUGCAAAUAGUUUCCCAAUUAUGGACAGAGGUUUCAAGAGAUGGAAUAUGUUUCUGUUUAGGAAAUUUCUUUCUUUCAUUUUGGUUCUCUGACUCUGCAGACAUAACCAAAGAUUUAACCAAAAUAAGUAACGGUUUUCAUCCUUACGUGUAGGAUACAUCUGUAUAGAAGAGUAUGUAGGAACCAAACACACGAGAAAUGGAGACAAAAAGCAGAUUCAACUUAGAAAGCAUAAACCUUAAGGAGCUGUUGGGCUUCUCCCUGCCUUCCACAAGAACUUGUGCCAGCAUUCAGCCAACUCCACUCUCAGGGAAGUCGUAACCCCUCAACAUGCCCGGAGCCCUGAGUCCUGGUGCCCUGCUCUGACCUCCCUUCACGGAAGACCUCGCCCUCAUGUGCAAAAGCUCAGGUAGCAGACUCUCCCAGCUGCAGGCCCCUUCCAGAUGUGGCUCAGCCAUAUUUUCUGCAGGAAGCCCCAGCCCACGACGGAGGGAGGCACGGGUACUAGGGCCUGGCCCAUUCUGCCCAGCACACAGCUCCUCCACGAUUAGGAAUUGUCAGACCUGCACCGUGGUCAGAGCCUCACCCCAGCCAAUCCUGAUUCCUGCCCCUUUCAUCCUGCAGAAGCAGUACUGCCAUGACCCUCCUCUGCUCCUCACCCAUCUCAGCAUCUGCUUUCUGGAGGAUCCAAUAGACACAGCCUAUCUAUUCUCAGUUUCCACUUAGAAAAACCUCUCAUCACACUUCUAUAUAAAAACUGUGAGACUGAUACAAAUAGAAUUUCCCAAAGCAUGUACCAAAAUGAAUUAAUGAAGAGAUGCUGUUUUGCCUCUACAAAUGUCUUUUUGAUAAACAUUACCACAUUUGUUUUCCCCUGCCCCGAGACUGUUUGCUCAGGGAUCCAUCUUUUAAAACUGCUCAGGUUUUCACAUUUGCAAGCCAGGGAGUGAUCCAACUGCAGGAAUGAGCUCUCCAUGGUGGAUGCCUACCACAGACACAGUGGGAUGUUUUGGUGGAUUUUUAUGAGAAAACCUUUUCUUUUCUAAUAAUUCUUUGCGCUAUUAUACUGUAGAGUUGGCCACCUCAUGGAAGUAAGAAAGCAAAGGAAGAAGAUUCACACUGAACAGCUGGUUUUAGAUGUGGAUGUUAACAUUACCGACAAAAUGCUGGUUUUAAUGAAGGAAAGAAAAUCUCAGCGUCACCAUGGACUCUGGACUUUGCUAUACGCUCUGCUCCUGUUCCCACUCCACCUCUUGCUGACUGUGUGUCCUGGUUGAAUUCCAAAGGCAUCAAAAAAGGCAGUCAAUUCAAUGAGAGAGAGAUGGCGGAUUUUCUUCAUGUCUUC